CCGGCGCGCUGCAAGCUUUCGGCGCGUGGGGCCCUACGGAGACCCGAGGCUCUGCUCAGCGCGCCCCUAUCCCGCCUUCUUUGUCUUCCCACACUCUGGGGAUCCGCCUCGGGGCCUCAAGGACGGGGUUCUCGGGACAGGCUGUGAAGCCAGGCAGGAAGAGGAGAGAGGGUUACUUCAUAGAGAGCUUUCCUUGAGCACCUACUUAAUGUUGGACUCUUGGCGAGGAUGACCUCUCCCCACAAUCCAGGAGGCACUUCCAGGCCUGAGCGCUUCCGGGCACCCAUCGAAAUGCAGCCAGAGAAAUGUCCAUUCCCAUACUGGGAGGAGAUAAGAAAACUGAGGCUCAGAGAGGUGAAGUGACAAGUCCACGGUCACACCAGGGAAAGGGGAGAACAGAGGUUUAACUCCAGCUCAAGGUUCUUCUACUACACACAUCACGGCUGCUCUCAACCCAGGACCUCAGCCCUGUCACCUAGCCUUGGCCCCCGGUGGCCUCCCCAUGGCAGCCCUCCCCAGCUCCUGCAGCUACCGCCAAGCAUCUUCCAGGUCCAGCUCCAAUCCCUUCCUGUCUGGCCUGGACACUUGCCUACAGGUACAGAAGACCUGGACACAGAAAAAGGUGGCAGCCAGAGAGGAGGUAACUUGCCCAAGGUCACACAGAAAGCCUGAGCCAACCUGGCAUCCGGGCCAGGCACAUUCCAGGGUCACCUUCAGGCCCGGGAGGUGUGUGGCUGCCGGCCAGCUGGCCCCAGCUCCCCACCCUCUCAACGCACCCAUCUCUCCCAGGGAAAGGGCGCAGCAAGGGGGUGGGGGAGGGGCCCAGUGGCCCAGCUCCUGAGUGGGAUGGGCCAGGCCGGAAGCUGCUGCUGACAGCUCCUGGGUUUCUUGGCAACUGUCACUGCGCCUCCUCCCAUCCCUUAUCUCCACAUCGAGGUAACAAUAAUAAUCACAC